AGACGAACCGUACAAACGUUAUUCGGAAUCACUGGGUUUAAAGGGUGCGUAGGCGGCUUGGCAAGUUGGGUGUGAAAUCCCUCGGCUCAACCGAGGAACUGCGCUCAAAACUGCCAGGCUAGAGGGAGAUAGAGGUGAGCGGAACUUAGGGUGGAGCGGUGAAAUGUGUUGAUAUCCUAAGGAACACCGGUGGCGAAGGCGGCUCACUGGGUCUUUUCUGACGCUGAGGCACGAAAGCUAGGGGAGCGAACGGGAUUAGAAACCCCUGUAGUCC
rnacentral:rRNA from 1 species